rnacentral:rRNA from 1 species
UCUGACACAGGUGCUGCAUGGCUGUCGUCAGCUCGUGUCGUGAGAUGUUGGGUUAAGUCCCGUAACGAGCGCAACCCUUGUCCUUAGUUACCAGCACGUUAUGGUGGGCACUCUAAGGAGACUGCCGGUGACAAACCGGAGGAAGGUGGGGAUGACGUCAAGUCAUCAUGGCCCUCACGGCCUGGGCUACACACGUGCUACAAUGGUCGGUACAAAGGGUUGCCAAGCCGCGAGGUGGAGCUAAUCCCAUAAAACCGAUCGUAGUCCGGAUCGCAGUCUGCAACUCGACUGCGUGAAGUCGGAAUCGCUAGUAAUCGUGAAUCAGAAUGUCACGGUGAAUACGUUCCCGGGCCUU